AGGUUAUGAGAAAACGCGGAUAAA
rnacentral:siRNA from 1 species